GAACGCUGGCGGCAGGCUUAACACAUGCAAGUCGAACGCCCUCUUCGGAGGGAGUGGCAGACGGGUGAGUAACACGUGGGAACCUACCUAGGGGUACGGAAUAACUCGGGGAAACUCGUGCUAAUACCGUAUACGACCUUCGGGUGAAAGAUUUAUCGCCCCUAGAUGGGCCCGCGCUGGAUUAGCUAGUUGGUGGGGUAAAAGCCUACCAAGGCGACGAUCCAUAGCUGGUCUGAGAGGAUGAUCAGCCACACUGGGACUGAGACACGGCCCAGACUCCUACGGGAGGCAGCAGUGGGGAAUCUUGGACAAUGGGGGAAACCCUGAUCCAGCCAUGCCGCGUGAGUGAUGAAGGCCUUAGGGUUGUAAAGCUCUUUCGCCAGGGAAGAUAAUGACGGUACCUGGAUAAGAAGCCCCGGCUAA
rnacentral:rRNA from 1 species